AAAACCUCAAAACUCCCCCUUCCCCUCUCAGCCGCGCAUCUCUCUCUCCCCCGACCUCUCUUGCUCACUCUCUUCUUCUUCCCUCUGCCACCACCGGAGACCCCAGCUCUAGCCACCAUCUCAUCACACCGCUUCCACCAGUCGACGCCGCACCUAAACCCGACCAAAACCCACCUGGAAUCACCGCCAUGCAUCAACCCCAACCUUCGCACUCGAUUCCCGAAGCUACGAAACCAAUGUAGAUAAUCUCUCCUUGAAUUCCAAACCAUAAUCUCGCCACACCGCCGCUAUUUCUUGGCCUAGUAGACAUGGAGGAGGAAAACCCAGAAAUCUAGCCAUCCACCGAAGCCGGACAAGGCUGCACGAGCGCCGCCGGAAUCUCUCCUUCUGUUGAGAUCGAUUCACCGUUCUCCGACCUCGCCUGAGCGACACCACCUCCAAAAAUAGGAUCAGCGUUGCGUCAGUCGCUAAAACCCUAUAGCCCCGACCUCUAACUCUGAACAGAGCCACUUCGCGUCGCAUGCGCCACAGUUGGCGCGUGAGAAACCCCUAGCUCUGCCGCUCAUGGCUGCUGGAGCUUCAGAUAUCCUUUAUUAGGUAACGUUCGUGUUUCCCCUUUUGAUUGGAGUUUCUGGUUUAAGUGGAAUGAAAUCCCUAAUUCUAUUGAUUGGACUGUGUGAGGUUUAUGAAUCUGCGAUAUGAAGUUUUUGGAGAAGGUGAGCUAUUGGGAUAGCUUUGAUCGAAUUCAGAUACGGAUCCGAAAGGUUAAAGGUGAUGAGAUGCAGCUACAAGGAAUUGGUUUCUAUUUGGAAAAGAAGUUGUGGUAAGGGUCUGGGUAUCUUAGAUAUGUAUUGCCUUGGUCUGAUUAUGUAAAUUGAAGAUGUGGUUUUAUUGAAUACGCGAAAUGAAACUUGGUUCUGUGCAAUAUCAGUUAUGUCGGAAACUUGGCCUGAAUGAACGAGUGUAAAUGAGCUUAUAGCAAUUAGAGGAUUAGUUUUGUUUAAUUAAA